rnacentral:rRNA from 1 species
UACGAAGGGGGCUAGCGUUGUUCGGAAUUACUGGGCGUAAAGGGCGCGUAGGUGGCCAACUAAGUCAGACGUGAAAUCCCUCGGCUUAACCGGGGAACUGCGUCUGAUACUGGAUGGCUUGAGUUUGGGAGAGGGACGCGGAAUUCCAGGUGUAGCGGUGAAAUGCGUAGAUAUCUGGAGGAACACCGGUGGCGAAGGCGGCGUCCUGGACCAAUACUGACACUGAAACGCGAAAGCCAGGGGAGCAAACGGG